GGGGGGGGGGGGGGGGGGGGGGGGGGGAGGGGGGGCGGGGGGGGGGGCCCUGCUGUUGUGGGGUGCUCGAGUGGCGAACGGGUGAGUAACACGUGAGUAACCUGCCCUUGACUUUGGGAUAACUUCAGGAAACUGGGGCUAAUACCGGAUAGGAGCUCCUGCUGCAUGGUGGGGGUUGGAAAGUUUCGGCGGUUGGGGAUGGACUCGCGGCUUAUCAGCUUGUUGGUGGGGUAGUGGCUUACCAAGGCUUUGACGGGUAGCCGGCCUGAGAGGGUGACCGGCCACAUUGGGACUGAGAUACGGCCCAGACUCCUACGGGAGGCAGCAGUGGGGAAUAUUGCACAAUGGGCGGAAGCCUGAUGCAGCAACGCCGCGUGCGGGAUGACGGCCUUCGGGUUGUAAACCGCUUUCGCCUGUGACGAAGCGUGAGUGACGGUAAUGGGUAAAGAAGCACCGGCUAACUACGUG
rnacentral:rRNA from 1 species